rnacentral:rRNA from 1 species
AGGACGAACGCUGGCGGCGCGCUUAACACAUGCAAGUCGAACGUGAAGCCCGGGCUUGCCCGGGUGGAAAGUGGCGAACGGGUGCGUAACACGUGAGCAACCUGCCCCGAAGACCGGGAUAACAGCGGGAAACCGCUGCUAAUACCGGAUACCCUCAUCACGUCGCAUGGCGGGAUGAGGAAAUGGAUUCCGCUUCGGGAUGGGCUCGCGGUCUAUCAGCUUGUUGGUGAGGUAACGGCUCACCAAGGCUACGACGGAUAGCUGGUCUGAGAGGAUGUCCAGCCACACUGGGACUGAGACACGGCCCAGACUCCUACGGGAGGCAGCAGUGGGGAAUCUUGCACAAUGGGCGAAAGCCUGAUGCAGCGACGCCGCGUGCGGGAUGACGGCCUUCGGGUUGUAAACCGCUUUCAGCAGGGACGAUAGUGACGGUACCUGCAGAGAAGCCCCGGCAACUACGCGCCAGCAGCCGCGGU